UGACGGUACCUGACUAAGAAGCACCGGCUAAAUACGUGCCAGCAGCCGCGGUAAUACGUAUGGUGCAAGCGUUAUCCGGAUUUACUGGGUGUAAAGGGAGCGCAGACGGCAUGGCAAGCCAGAUGUGAAAUGCGGGGGCUCAACUCCUGAACUGCAUUUGGAACUGUCAAGCUAGAGUAUCAGAGAGGUAAGUGGAAUUCCUAGUGUAGCGGUGAAAUGCGUAGAUAUUAGGAGGAACACCAGUGGCGAAGGCGGCUUACUGGACGAUAACUGACGUUGAGGCUCGAAAGCGUGGGGAGCAAACAGGAUUAGAUACCCUG
rnacentral:rRNA from 1 species